UUGAUUUUGUGGCCCAAAAAUAGUUGCCUGAAGAACAAACCCACAACCGGAAAUUUAAACGCAAGGCUGAGGGUCAGGCUGAACCCAAAACUACCAUUAACGUUGCCAGUAGUCCACCAGAUGGCUACGGACCUCUCUUCUCCUACGCUCCUCUUAUCCAGAAACAACACUUCAGCUCCACGAUUUCACCAAACAAGAAACUCUCUCUCUCUCUAUAGAACAACUUAUCCUCUCUCCAAUUCCAGAACUGCCAUCCCCAGGCUUCGCCUCCUCUGCCGGACUUCCGGAACUCAUUCCACAAGUGUUUCCGACGUCGAAUUCGCCGCGGAAGUUGGCCAGCAUCGUCUUUCCAAGGAAAUCUCUCCCUCUUCCUCUCCCUCUCUCUCUCUUAGUAGAUUUCAAUCGCUAUUAUGUUUGUUUCCUCUUCCACAGUUUCUUGUGCAGGUUCCUGUAGCCAAUAUCAGAAAUUUCUGCAUCAUAGCACAUAUUGAUCAUGGGAAAUCAACCUUGGCCGAUAAAUUGCUUCAAAUGACUGGGACUGUGCAGCAGCGAGAAAUGAAGGAUCAGUUUCUUGAUAGCAUGGAUUUGGAAAGAGAAAGAGGCAUCACUAUCAAAUUACAGGCAGCUAGGAUGCGUUAUGUUUAUGAAAAUGAACCAUAUUGCCUGAAUUUGAUUGAUACUCCUGGGCAUGUAGACUUCUCAUAUGAGGUUUCUCGUUCUCUUGCAGCUUGUGAGGGUGCUCUCCUAGUUGUUGAUGCUUCCCAGGGAGUGGAAGCACAAACGCUGGCUAAUGUUUAUUUGGCCUUGGAAAAUAACCUUGAAAUCAUCCCUGUUUUAAACAAAAUAGAUCUUCCAGGUGCUGAGCCAGAUCGUGUUAUCCAUGAGAUUGAAGAGGUUAUUGGUUUAGACUGUAGCAAUGCAAUACGCUGCUCUGCAAAGGAGGGAAUAGGUAUAACUGACAUUCUGAAUGCAAUUGUCAAACGGAUACCGUCACCCUGUGAUACUGCUAAACUGCCAUUGAGGGCUUUAAUAUUUGAUAGGCUUUAUUGCAUUUUUGAAUAUUCUUGCAGUUACUAUGAUCCAUAUCGUGGUGUUAUUGUAUAUUUCCGGGUCAUAGAUGGGAGUAUAAAGAGAGGUGACAGAAUCUAUUUCAUGGCCAGCAAGAAGGAUUACUUUGCUGAUGAAAUUGGAGUUUUAUCUCCCAAUCAGUUGCAAGUGGAAGAAUUGUAUUCGGGUGAAGUUGGCUACCUUUCUGCUUCCAUAAGGUCAGUAGCAGAUGCCAGGGUGGGUGGUACUGUCACUCACUACAAUAGAAGGGCAGAAAAUUCACUACCUGGAUACAAGGAAGCUACUCCAAUGGUGUUCUGUGGCUUGUUUCCUGUUGAUGCUGACCAGUUUCCUGAGUUACGUGAUGCAUUGGAAAAGCUACAACUCAAUGAUGCUGCAUUAAAGUUUGAGCCUGAAACUUCAAGUGCCAUGGGUUUUGGAUUUAGAUGCGGUUUCCUUGGUCUACUUCACAUGGAAAUUGUUCAGGAAAGGCUUGAGAGAGAAUACAAUCUGAGCUUAAUAACGACUGCUCCAAGUGUUGUGUACAGAGUGAACUGUGUAAAUGGCGAUACUGUUGAGUGCUCAAAUCCAUCUUUACUUCCUGAACCUGGAAAAAGGUUGUCAAUUGAGGAGCCGUUUGUGAAGAUUGAAAUGCUUACACCAAAAGAUUAUAUUGGUCCACUUAUGGAGCUGGCUCAAGAUAGAAGAGGCGAUUUUAAAGAGAUGAAAUUUAUAACUGAGAAUAGGGCAUCGAUCACAUAUGAAUUACCCCUUGCUGAGAUGGUGGGUGAUUUCUUUGACCAGUUGAAGUCCAGGAGUAAAGGAUAUGCUAGCAUGGAGUACACUUUUGUUGGGUACAACACUAGCUCCUGGUGACUCUCGCCUUCCUUCCAUGUUCACCUCUUUCGGUCUCGCCUUCAACAGACGAUGCUACUCCUCCCUUUGCCAUCCGAAAAUGAUGGUGUAAUGUAAUGGUUGAAGGGAUGACUGCUCUCCAUAACAAUGGCACUUGGGAUUUGGUGCCACUACCAAAGGGCAAAUCUAUUUUUGGCUGUCGAUGGUUGGUGGGGCCUGAUGGCCAGAUUGAUAGACUUAAAGCUCGUCUUGUUGCAAAGGGCUAUACUCAAAUCUUUGGCCUCGAUUACAGUGAUACCUUCUCUCCUGUGGCUAAGAUUGCCUCGGUUUGCCUUCUUAUUUCCUUAGCUGUCAUCCAUUACUGGCCACUUCAUCAACUGGAUAUCAAAAAUGCCUUUUUACAUGGCAAGCUAGCUGAGAAAGUUUAUAUGGAGCAACCACCAAGGUUUGUUGCUCAGGGGGAGUCUGGUUUGGUGUGUCGCCUACAACGUUCUUUAUAUGGCUUGAAACAAUCUCCGAGAGCAUGGUUUGGACGGUUCAGUACUGUAGUCCAACAAUUUGGAAUGUCUCAGAGUGAAGUUGACCAUUCAGUAUUUUUCCACCGUAAUGGCCAUGAUAAGUGCAUUUAUCUCGUUGUUUAUGUUGAUGACAUUGUUAUUACAGGAAAUGAUCAUGUUGGGAUCUCAAAACUCAAACAACACUUGUCCAGUCAUUUUCAGACUAGGGAUCUUGGGAAGUUAAAGUAUUUCGUGGGGAUUGAAGUGGCACAAUCCAAAACAGGUAUCGCCAUUUCUCAAAGGAAGUAUGCUUUGGAUAUACUGACAGAGAAGGGCAUGUUAGACUGUAGACACGUAGAUACUCCUAUGGAUCCAAAUGUCAAACUUGUUUCUGGACAGGGGGAGCCAUUGGAGGAUCCUGGUAGAUACCGGAGAUUGGUUGGAAAACUCAUUUAUCUUACAAUCACACGCCCAGACAUCUCAUUUGUUAUAAGCGUGGUUAGUCAGUUCCUUUAAGUACCAUGUAGUAGUCAUUGGGAUGCAGUUAUUCAGAUACUCAGAUAUAUUAAAGGAGCUCCAUGACAAGGCCUAUUAUAUGAAGACAGGGGUCAUUUACUGAUUAUUGGUUACUCAGAUGUAGAUUGGGCAGGUUCUCCUUCAGACAGACGGUCUACUUCUGGAUAUUGCAUUAUGAUUACAGGUAAUUUGAUUUCUUGGAAAAGUAAGAAGCAAGAUGUGGUUGCUAGGACAAGUGCAGAAGUAGAAUAUCGAGCUAUGGCUUUGCUAACUUGUGAACUUAUAUGGUUGAAACAACUUCUCUAAAAGUUGAAGUAUGGGGAACUUAAACAAAUGCAGCUAAUCUGUGACAAUCAAAUUGCACUUCACAUUGUCUCUAAUCCAGUGUUUCAUGAGAGAACGAAACAUAUAGAGGUGAAUUGUCAUUUCAUCAAACAAAAGAUUGAAUCUGGGUGUAUUGCUACUAGCUUUGCUAGCUCAAAUGACCAACUAGCAGAUAUCCUGACCAAAUCUCUCAGAGUCUCUCGCAUUGAAUAUAUUUGUAACAAGCUUGGAGCAUAUAAUUUGUAUGUUCCAGCUUGAGGGGGAGUGUUAAGAUAUGUACUAUAAAUAGCUAGGAUAUGUGUAUCUAUAGUGAUUGUGUGAAUAUAUUUAGGUGCUAGAAUCGUGGCUAUAAUUACGUAUUUAAUUAGGAUUGUAUUUUCUAUUUAGUUGUUCUGUACAGAUUAUAAAUUGAUACCAUUGGCUUGAGGGAAUAAUCAAGCUCUUCAAUAAUUCUUAA